GACGAACGCUGGCGGCGUGCUUAACACAUGCAAGUCGAACGGAAAGGCCCUGCUUUUGUGGGGUGCUCGAGUGGCGAACGGGUGAGUAACACGUGAGUAACCUGCCCUUGACUUUGGGAUAACUUCAGGAAACUGGGGCUAAUACCGGAUAGGAGCUCCUGCUGCAUGGUGGGGGUUGGAUAGUUUCGGCGGUUGGGGAUGGACUCGCGGCUUAUCAGCUUGUUGGUGGGGUAGUGGCUUACCAAGGCUUUGACGGGUAGCCGGCCUGGGAGGGUGACCGGCCACAUUGGGACUGAGAUACGGCCCAGACUCCUACGGGAGGCAGCGGUGGGGAAGAUUGCACAAUGGGCGGAAGCCUGAUGCAGCAACGCCGCGUGCGGGAUGACGGCCUUCGGGUUGUAAACCGCUUUCGCCUGUGACGAAGCGUGAGUGACGGUAAUGGGUAAAGAAGCACCGGCUAACUACGUG
rnacentral:rRNA from 1 species